GAUGAACGCUGGCGGCGUGCCUAAUACAUGCAAGUCGAACGCUUUGUGGUUCAACUGAUUUGAAGAGCUUGCUCAGAUAUGACGAUGGACAUUGCAAAGAGUGGCGAACGGGUGAGUAACACGUGGGAAACCUACCUCUUAGCAGGGGAUAACAUUUGGAAACAGAUGCUAAUACCGUAUAACAAUGACAACCGCAUGGUUGUUAUUUAAAAGAUGGUUCUGCUAUCACUAAGAGAUGGUCCCGCGGUGCAUUAGCUAGUUGGUAAGGUAAUGGCUUACCAAGGCGAUGAUGCAUAGCCGAGUUGAGAGACUGAUCGGCCACAAUGGGACUGAGACACGGCCCAUACUCCUACGGGAGGCAGCAGUAGGGAAUCUUCCACAAUGGGCGAAAGCCUGAUGGAGCAACGCCGCGUGUGUGAUGAAGGGUUUCGGCUCGUAAAACACUGUUGUAAGAGAAGAAUGACAUUGAGAGUAACUGUUCAAUGUGUGACGGUAUCUUACCAGAAAGGAACGGCUAAAUACGUGCCAGCAGCCGCGGUAAUACGUAUGUUCCAAGCGUUAUCCGGAUUUAUUGGGCGUAAAGCGAGCCCAGACGGUUUAUUUAAGUCUGAAGUGAAAGCCCUCAGCUCAACUGAGGAAUUGCUUUGGAAACUGGAUGACUUGAGUCCAGUAGAGGAAAGUGGAACUCCAUGUGUAGCGGUGAAAUGCGUAGAUAUAUGGAAGAACACCAGUGGCGAAGGCGGCUUUCUGGACUGUAACUGACGUUGAGGCUCGAAAGUGUGGGUAGCAAACAGGAUUAGAUACCCUGGUAGUCCACACCGUAAACGAUGAGUGCUAGGUGUUUGAGGGUUUCCGCCCUUAAGUGCCGCAGCUAACGCAUUAAGCACUCCGCCUGGGGAGUACGACCGCAAGGUUGAAACUCAAAGGAAUUGACGGGGACCCGCACAAGCGGUGGAGCAUGUGGUUUAAUUCGAAGCAACGCGAAGAACCUUACCAGGUCUUGACAUCCCUUGACAACUCCAGAGAUGGAGCGUUCCCUUCGGGGACAAGGUGACAGGUGGUGCAUGGUUGUCGUCAGCUCGUGUCGUGAGAUGUUGGGUUAAGUCCCGCAACGAGCGCAACCCUUAUUACUAGUUGCCAGCAUUCAGUUGGGCACUCUAGUGAGACUGCCGGUGACAAACCGGAGGAAGGUGGGGAUGACGUCAAAUCAUCAUGCCCCUUAUGACCUGGGCUACACACGUGCUACAAUGGCGUAUACAACGAGUUGCCAACCCGCGAGGGUGAGCUAAUCUCUUAAAGUACGUCUCAGUUCGGAUUGUAGGCUGCAACUCGCCUACAUGAAGUCGGAAUCGCUAGUAAUCGCGGAUCAGCACGCCGCGGUGAAUACGUUCCCGGGUCUUGUACACACCGCCCGUCACACCAUGAGAGUUUGUAACACCCAAAGCCGGUGGGGUAACCUUCGGGAGCCAGCCGUCUAAGGUGGGACAGAUGAUUAGGGUG
rnacentral:rRNA from 1 species